GCCUGGGUGGCUCAGUCAGUUGAGCGUCCGACUUUGGCUCAGGUCAUGAUCUCGUGGUUUGUGGGUUCGAGCCCCCACAUCAGGCU
rfam:Felis catus isolate Cinnamon breed Abyssinian chromosome C1, whole genome shotgun sequence.